GGAGGUUGCUGGCGGUUGUUCCAGCGCGACUUUUCUGUUGUCCCAAGGAGAGUACUCUCAGUGUCUGAAAUGGCUCCUCAAGAAGCUUUCUACCUUCACUCCAGUUUUGCAACUGCUGAUGCCAAAACAUUGGUCCACAAGCAGGAAGAUAUCCUUGGAAUGGCAGCGUUUUCAAUCAGACUGUCCCUUUCAAAGCUUUCAUUACUGAGCAGUAGAUAGAAUAAAGGUCUUAAAGUCUCAUUGCAAAACUUCUGAAGA